rnacentral:rRNA from 1 species
UCAAUAAGCGGAGGAAAAGAAACUAACAAGGAUUCCCUUAGUAACGGCGAGUGAACCGGGAAGAGCUCAAAUUUGUAAUCUGGCUGUCUUCGAUAGUCCGAGUUGUAAUCUAUAGACGUGUUUUCCGUGCUGGACCGUAUCUAAGUCCCUUGGAACAGGGUAUCAAAGAGGGUGAUAAUCCCGUGCUUGAUACGACCACCAGUGCUCUGUGAUACACGCUCUACGAGUCGAGUUGUUUGGGAAUGCAGCUCAAAAUGGGUGGUAAAUUCCAUCUAAAGCUAAAUAUUGGCGAGAGACCGAUAGCGAACAAGUACCGUGAGGGAAAGAUGAAAAGCACUUUGGAAAGAGAGUUAAACAGUACGUGAAAUUGUUGAAAGGGAAACGAUUGAAGUCAGUCGUGUUCUUCAGAUUCAGCUGGUUCUUCCAGUCUACUUCUGUUGAACGGGUCAACAUCAGUUUUGUCCGGUGGAUAAAGGUAGUAGGAAUGUGACUCCUCCGGGAGUGUUAUAGCCUAUUAUUGCAUACACUGGGUGAGACUGAGGACUGCAGCUCGCCUUUUGGCCGGUCUUCGGACACGUUCGAGCUUAGGAUGUUGACAUAAUGGCUUUAAACGACCCGUCU